UACAGCCUGCAGGCCAAGGCUAGCUCAGCUUUGCAGUACCUUGUGGUUUAGCAACAGGAGGAGCCCUUCCAAAAAAGAAAAAAAAAGCUAGAACUGCUCUUACAAUCUUUCCCAGUAGAAAUGGAAGGUCAUUAUGGCUUACAACAAACAGUGAUAAGGAACAUUUCAGCUGUUAGGUUUCCACCUGGAAACUGCUAUUAAAGGCAAGCAUCCAAGCUGAGAAAAGGGACACCAACCUGCAUUGCAGGAAGCAAGCACAAGAACCCAGAUAUGAAGCCUUGAUAUUCCAGACACCGUGAAGUUGACUAGAACACCACCCAACAUGAGGGAUGCCUGGAAAAACAUACUGAUAAUAUCAUCUGAUGUAGCAUCUGCAGCUAUCUGGGACCUACCACAAGAUGCCCCAACAAUUCCAAACAAUGGAUUAUAUCAGAGCGUUCUCAGGUCGAAGAAAACCGUCUUGCAAAUCGGAGUUCCCCUCCACCCCGAGAACUGUUUCAUUAUUUCCCUCACCUUGUUUUAUAUUUUGUGGCCUUGUUUCAGUUCUGUAGCUUUCUCAUUCCCUUUUUUCAUCUGUUCUUCCCUCCAUGGGCUAUCUUAUCACAGGGUCGCCCUUUGCGAUGGCUACUUUAUCGCCUGGCGGGUCUUUUCAAAGCGGCUCUCUCUGAGUAUUUGGUAAAUAUUCUGCUGGGAUCACUCAAUGUCCUCACCCCCCUUAUCUGUUAAAGGUUAUCUUGACAUUUGAGUGGCUUUUGAGUGGCCCAGAGACAGAUAAGACAACUGUGACCCCCUGACAUUUUCUCCUCCUUGGUUCAAGGCUUAUUUAUUUAUUUAUU